UACGAGGACCCCAAGCGUUAUCCGGAAUUACUGGGCGUAAAGCGUGAGCAUCCGGUUAUGCUAGUCUCAUGUCAAAUCUUAUUGCUCAACGAUAAGACCGCGUGAGAAACGGCAUGGCUAGAGGGGGUGAGAGGCAAGCGGAACGUGCAGUGUAGGGGUGAAAUCCAUUGAUAUUGCACGGAACACCAAAAGCGAAAGCAGCUUGCUAGCGCUCUCCUGACGGUCAAUCACUAAAGCGUGGGGAUCAAAAAGG
rnacentral:rRNA from 1 species